rnacentral:rRNA from 1 species
GACGAACGCUGGCGGCGUGCUUAACACAUGCAAGUCGAACGGUAAGGCCCUUCGGGGUACACGAGUGGCGAACGGGUGAGUAACACGUGGGUGAUCUGCCCUGCACUUCGGGAUAAGCCUGGGAAACUGGGUCUAAUACCGGAUAGGACCACUGCCUGCAUGGGUGGUGGUGGAAAGCUUUUGCGGUGCGGGAUGGGCCCGCGGCCUAUCAGCUUGUUGGGGGGGUGAUGGCCUACCAAGGCGACGACGGGUAGCCGGCCUGAGAGGGUGACCGGCCACACGGGGACUGAGAUACGGCCCAGACUCCUACGGGAGGCAGCAGUGGGGAAUAUUGCACAAUGGGCGCAAGCCUGAUGCAGCGACGCCGCGUGAGGGAUGACGGCCUUCGGGUUGUAAACCUCUUUCAGCACCGACGAAGCGCAAGUGACGGUAGGUGCAGAAGAAGGACCGGCCAACUACGUGCCAGCAGCCGCCGUAA